rnacentral:rRNA from 1 species
CUUACACAUGCAGUCGAACGGUAAGGCCCUUCGGGGUACACGAGUGGCGAACGGGUGAGUAACACGUGGGUGAUCUGCCCUGCACUUUGGGAUAAGCCUGGGAAACUGGGUCUAAUACCGAAUACACCCUGCUGGUCGCAUGGCCUGGUGGGGGAAAGCUUUUGCGGUGUGGGAUGGGCCCGCGGCCUAUCAGCUUGUUGGUGGGGUGAUGGCCUACCAAGGCGACGACGGGUAGCCGGCCUGAGAGGGUGUCCGGCCACACUGGGACUGAGAUACGGCCCAGACUCCUACGGGAGGCAGCAGUGGGGAAUAUUGCACAAUGGGCGCAAGCCUGAUGCAGCGACGCCGCGUGAGGGAUGACGGCCUUCGGGUUGUAAACCUCUUUCACCAGGGACGAAGCGUAAGUGACGGUACCUGGAGAAGAAGCACCGGCCAACUACGUGCCAGCAGCCGCGGUAAUACGUAGGGUGCGAGCGUUGUCCGGAAUUACUGGGCGUAAAGAGCUCGUAGGUGGUUUGUCGCGUUGUUCGUGAAAACUCACAGCUUAACUGUGGGCGUGCGGGCGAUACGGGCAGACUGGAGUACUGCAGGGGAGACUGGAAUUCCUGGUGUAGCGGUGGAAUGCGCAGAUAUCAGGAGGAACACCGGUGGCGAAGGCGGGUCUCUGGGCAGUAACUGACGCUGAGGAGCGAAAGCGUGGGGAGCGAACAGGAUUUAGAUUCCCUGGUAGUCUACGCCGUAAACGGUGGGUACUAGGUGUGGGUUUCUCCCUUGGGAUCCGUGCCCGAAUCUAUCUCUUUAAUUCCUCUCCUUUUGGAGUU